GCUUAAGUGGUCUAACAUAUGAUGCUAGAUUGUGGAUCUAGAGAUGGUAAAAUAUCCUUAAGCU
rnacentral:tRNA from 1 species